rnacentral:tRNA from 1 species
GUUCCUGUAGUUGAAUUACAACGGUGGUUUUUCAAGUCACUGGUCUUGGUUAAAGCCCAAGCGGGAACU